AGGACAAACGCUGGCGGCGUGCGUAACACAUGCAAGUCGAACGAGGCGCUUGCGCCUAGUGGCGAACGGGUGAGUAACACGUGAGCAACCUGCCCUUGGCUCUGGGAUAGCCUCCGGAAACGGGGAUUAAUACCGGACAUGACCUUCUCCUGCAUGGGGGAGGGUGGAAAGUUUUUCGGCCAGGGAGGGGCUCGCGGCCUAUCAGCUUGUUGGGGGGUAACGGCCCACCAAGGCGACGACGGGUAGCC
rnacentral:rRNA from 1 species